GAUCCGUUUCUAGUUGACCCAUAUGACAUGGAUCAAUAUAAUAAGAUGGUAAGCACUCUAGACACUAGCAAGAAAAAGACUCCUGAUGAAGAGGCUUUGUAUGUGGACGACUUGAAGGCAUUGUCAGAAGCAGUAUCCAAAAUAGACAUCACGUACCAUCAUUUGCUUUUGAACAAUAUGUUUACCAUCCGCAUCUGGUACUUGCAAAGAGAUACAUUGGAUGCUUUCUUAGACCUAAUAACCAGAUUGGCUGCAGUGGCAGAUCAGUAUCUCAGAGAAUGUUUGCAGAUGCUUGUGAACAACUUUACUCCGCCUCUUGUUCAACGCAAUGAGCUGCCUAGAUGGGCGGUUUCAAGGAAGAAGGAUAUUUUUUUUCAUCUGUGUGAGAGUUUGAAAACAAUCUCCGAUACUGUACCCUUAGCACCAAGGAUAUUAAGGGAUAUAAUAGAUCGGAGUAUGCCGAAGUUAUUUGAUAACAAAGCUAAGAUGGUCUCGUUUGUCGAAUGCAUGUUGGGGCUAGAUACUGACAGAAUGGGGGACCUUAUUGGGGCUACAUUGCUGGCGAAAGUUGUGGAUCUACUUACGGAGUUGGAUGUUAAUAUAACCUGGGAAGAUAUUAUUCAAGGGGAGCAUAACAAAGGUAUAUUUGAAAUGGAGCUUGAAGAUUUGGAUGAGGAUGAGGAUGGCCUUGGACAAGCGGGAACAAAGGUCCUUUUUGGAGGAAAUGCAUGUGCCGAAAAGCUUGACAGUUUAAUGGUUGUUGUAUGCGAGCACCUUAAGUCAUGUGCGGAGCGUGGGUACCUCGAUAAGGAAUUUGACAUUCUGAAGACUAUAUUUCGAGCAUCUGUGCUGAGGGUGCACAGAUCAAAAUUUUGCCAGUUUAUCAUGUUCUAUGCCUGCUCACUGGAUCCCAAAAUCUGCGGUCUUGGAUUUGCUUUUUUUCUUACCGACAUUUUUUUGAACAAGGAAGAGGAUCCAAUUUCAAGAAUGUCUGCAGUUUCGUAUGUUGGAAGCUAUUUGUCUCGGGCAAGGUUUAUUUCCGCUGAUACGGUUCUUGGCAUACUCAAAAAAUUAGUGGAUUGGUGCGAUGAAUAUUGUGUCCUUCAGAACAGAGGGACCACAGCCAAUCCGAAUCAUCAAAUAUUUUACGCGACCUGUCAGGCUGUGAUGUAUGUCCUUUGCUUUCGCUUGAGAUCUAUUAUGGAUUAUCCGAAUCUUAAAGCACAGCUUUUUCAAUUGUCUUUUGGAUUUAUCUUGAACCACCGACUGGAACCUCUAAAGGUGUGCUUGCCUUCAAUAGUAAACGAGUUCCUGAGACAGGCCAAGGAUGCCGGAUUAUUCGCUGCAUCCAUGUAUUCAGCAGCUGAAGAUGCAAUCGAAUCUGAUUUGUCCAGGGCUUUUGGAGGAAUCAACAGACUUGACACCUUCUUCCCAUUUGAUCCUUACCUGCUAAAAGAAUCAGACAGAUACAUCCGUCCAAAUUUCGAGUUCUGGUCCAUGGUCAAGACGACAUACAACAACGACAAGGACGAUGACGACGAUGAGCUGCUGGACCUUGAUGCCCCUGAAAUGAACGUGGGCAGCUUGGACGAUCAUGUCGAAAUAGAUAUCAACAGCGACGACGACGAGCUGGAGUACUCGAUGAACAAGAUGUCUAUAACCCCGCACCGCUCCUCCUACCACGGGAUGGCCGCGGACGGUGGCGAUGCUGGCCUCAGCAUGCCCGCGAGGAUCAGACCUUCGGCGAGCCCCCCGUCACGGUGGGCCAUGUCAGGCUCACCGUAG
rnacentral:rRNA from 1 species